UGAGUAAGCCAGAUGAUUGCGUGAGCAUGCCGAAAGGCCGCUUACGAGGAAAGUCCGGGCUCCAUAGGGCAGGGUGCCGGGUAACUCCCGGUCAAGGCGACUUGAAGGAAAGUGCAACAGAAAUAAACCGCCUUUUGAAGGCUUAAUGCGGGCGAAUUACAAAUUGCACCCGUAUCAAGCUUUCAAAAGGUAAGGAUGGAAAGGUGAGGUAAGAGCUCACCGGUUCCCUGGCGACAGGGGAUGCUCUGUAAACCCCACCCGGAGCAACACCGUGA
rnacentral:RNase_P_RNA from 1 species